UACAGAGGGUGCAAGCGUUAAUCGGAAUUACUGGGCGUAAAGCGUGCGUAGACGGUUAUGUAAGUCGGGUGUGAAAGCCCCGGGCUCAACCUGGGAAUUGCAUUCGAGACUGUGUAGCUAGGGUACGGAAGAGGGAAGCGGAAUUUCAGGUGUAGCGGUGAAGUGCGUAGAUAUCUGAAGGAACACCAGUGGCGAAAGCGGCUUCCUGGUCCAGUACCGACGUUCAGGCACGAAAGCGUGGGGAGCAAACAGG
rnacentral:rRNA from 1 species